rnacentral:rRNA from 1 species
AGAGUUUGAUCCUGGCUCAGAACGAACGCUGGCGGCAGGCUUAACACAUGCAAGUCGAGCGCUGUGGAGCAAUCCACGGAGCGGCGGACGGGUGAGUAACGCGUGGGAACAUGCCCUUUGGAUCGGAAUAACCCGAGGAAACCCGGGCUAAGGCCGGAUACGCCCUGAAAAGGGGAAAUAUUUAUAGCCAAAGGAUUGGC